UCCUGUGAGUUUUGAACGCAUCUGCAGUACCUUGGGAAACACUUGUGUUGUCAAGACAACAAGUAAACUCUCGCUUGAGUACACCGACAUGGCGGAGCUGUUGAAAAUAAAACGUGAAUUUGAAGAGUUCCAAAAGGAAUACUGCUGUAGAAACAGAGAAGCUGAGGAGAACAGAGAGAAGGAGAACCAGGCCGCCACCCAGAUCCAGAGCUGGUUCAGAGGCUGUAAGGUGCGGGCUUAUCUCAGCCAUCUGCACAAGAAGGCAAUCAUUAUACAGAAGAUAUGGCGGGGCUUCACAGCAAGGGCACAUGUCAGACAAAUGGUGAAGGCGGCAUAUUUUAUCAUGAAGAUGAAUUUCUACGAGGAGAUGGCGGUCAGGAUCCAGCGGAGAUGGAGAGGAUUCUUUGUGAGGAAACAUAUCCAUAACUUCUAUGCACGAAAAAAGUAUAUGGAAGGACUUGUCAUGAAAAAUGAACUAGUCAGGAGGGAGCUUGAUCAGCUGGAAGAACUCCAGAAAAGGGAGAGAGACUGUCUGGAUAUGGUGAAAGAGCACACAGCCAAAGUCUAUCAAGCUCAACGGUUACAUCACCUCCUCAGUACAAAGCAGAGGGGGUCUCCAAUGAGAAGAAUGAGUUUACUGAAUCAGCAGAGCAGGUGCCCAGGGGUCUUCAACUCUCCAUUCAGGCCAGCUCCUCAUGAGAUGGAGCUGCUGCUGAGGCAGGUCAAGUACCAGGCCCCCACCAGGCUGGCCUCCAGGGGCAAGGCUUGUCUCUUGGGCAUCCCAAGCUCAACAAGCUCUAGUUUCCCUGCGACUCUUGGAUCCCCAUUGAUCAAAACCUCUAGAACUUACAGCUCCAGGCCCAUACUGCCUCCCAUUGGCAACAAGAAACAGCAGGGUCUUUCAAGAGAAGCAGGAGAGGCUUGGGAGCAGCGCUUGCAUUGUCGUGAAUUGAUGUUAUGUCUGCAGACCUCUUACAUGCACCUAGAGGAGACCCAGAAUCAGCUACGUCAACUUGAGCCAGUGAGACUUAGAGAAACAGGAAGUACACCUUACCAUCUGAGCCAUGGCAGCAAUUCAUUUCCUCAUCCAGCCCAUACUGGCAAGAGCUUCAGAUGAUUAAUAUACACUGGUUAUGAGAGGAGUUUUACCCAGUGGAUGAAGACAUUACCCAGGGAUUCAACUGCACAUAAAAAAUGCCCUUUGCAUCACAAGGAUUGCUACUACUAGACAGAAGUUUUUCAGUUUUUCAAUGAAGCAACUGGUCCAACUUAGAACUGAAUACUCAGUAAACCAAAGUGAUCGGGAAGCAGCGCGCAACAAUCUCUGAAUGUGUUCAUAUUCAAAUGUAUUGAAUUCACCAAAACCAAGAUUGGGCUGUACAAUAAUCGUAAUUUACAAUACAUCAUAAUCAUUAGUUAAAGACUUCAGGAUUUAGGGUUGAAAUAUGACUAUGAGGGGUGCCUAACAUUUUUAAAAUGUUCUUCUGUUAGUGCACUGGUUUUGUCUGUAAAAAUCCUUAUCUCAGUUAGAGUGAACCAAAGGUGAAGUUUUUUUGUUUGUUUGUUUGUUUUUAAAGAAGACCAUAUGCACAGAUUUUAAAAUUUUAGAGUCAAAUGCUCGAAUGGUAAUCAAAAUUGUUCCUUAUUAUCAUUUAUUGAUUAAUCACUUUAGUUCAUAACUUUUGUCAUUACCACAUACCACAUACCAAAGACCAUUAGUUUAUAAUUCUGUGAUAUAUUAAAUGCAGUGUUAUGCAAUAACCUUUCUCAUAAUUAUUGGCUUUAUUUAUUAUUACUUAGCAAAAAAGUUUUUUCUCCUACGUAUUUGUGCCGUUGUCUCUUAUGUGUCCAAAUAUAACAAGCAUUUAUGAUUCACUGCUACUGACACCAAUGUGCAGCCCGUCUCUAUGUCCCCUACCCCCUGCGUGCACCUCCACUGUGCCGGCGGUGAGAAUAUUGUUGGUAGCUGGUGACGAUCAGUCCAUCUCCAUACAUUAAUCACCACCAAUAGAAAGCCCUGACACAGCAGCUACAGCAGUACCACUGCCCUGCCUAACAAAGCAUAGAGCAAGGACACACAGUGCCAACAGUGGAAAGACAGAAAAGAAGAAGAGAGGGAAAGUGCCGUUUUGCUGGGUGGAGGAUACAGAGAGAGAUAGAGAGAGGGAGAGCUAAAUGGGAAAAUAUGGAAAUGUAGAAAGAAAACAGUCAUACUUUAUGUUUCCCGCUCUGUCCUAACCUCUGUCUUCUUCCCUUUCUUUCGCUGCGUCUCGUUUUCUCUUGUUCUCCUGGUUUUUAUUGUUAUUACCAUGGCAGCACCAUUAGAGAGCUCUACGUUCUUCUCCACUGGAGCAAUAAAUGAAGAGGGCCUCACUCCUUUUUCCUCCUCAUCCUUUCCUUUCUCAUCCCUUCUUCAGGUCCCCCCGCUCGCCUACUUUCUCACCUCCCACCACAUUCUUCUCCGGUUCUCUUUUCCUCACCUUUAUCCUGCUUUCUCAUAUCCAGACUUCUACUCAUUGUUUCUCCUUUUUGUGAAAUUUAACCAUUUUGGCCUCAUUUUUUAAUCAUCCCCUUGUAGUAUAUAAAUCUCAUGUUUGAGUUUUCAGUCCUUUUCCUGCCAUAUCUUCUGGUAAACCAUCACGAUCUAUGCAUAAUGCAAACCUGUUUACCAUCCCCCACUUUGCAAAUGACACACACACAGACGAUGCAGGCUAUAGUAAUAGUUAAAAGCUACUUUGCUCUCAGUACAGUUGAAACACUUUGGACAAUUAAUGUGGAGUCCCAACAGAGCAGAUACCAACUAACAUCACAUUUCUAUAGUAUCAUCAUGAUAUGUUCCUGUCAUUACAGUAACCAGCUUGAAAAUUGGAUGUUUCAAAGCGGAUUCAAACCACAGCAUGCUUGAUUUUAUUGCAAGGACUUUUUAAAAUCAAAAUGACAGCGAUAACUAUGUUUUUCAGUCUGUAAGUAAAGCAUUUCUAUUUUGAUGUAAACUAUACCAAACGUGCUAUAUUAUAGAAAAAUAUGAAACUACAAAGAUCCCAGCGUUAAAAGUAGGGCUAGAUGCAGGCGGUUGCAGGACUGAGAAAAGUUAAAAGAGAGGGUUACAGACAGAGAGGGAUACCAUGCUGUGAGACGAAAAUGCAAUGAUGGGCUCCAACACUAAAAGUGCCACAAUCAAUUCCCAGCCAACAACGCAAAAAGAUCCAUGAGGAGUGAGCUGCCCUAUCAGGUACACCACAUGGUAUGAGACGAGACAGAGACACAGCAUGUAGACGGAGAACAGAAAAGGGAGAAGGACAGAGAUGAAAGCUGAGUAAAAGGAUAUAUGGAGUUGUCUUCGGUAGGACAAGGUAGGAACACAUGUGGGAAGUAAGCAGGGAGCAGAUGCCAAGAACGUAUGACAGUGAGUGUUAAACAAGAAGAGAGUGAGGGUGGAGGGAGCAGUAGGUGGCUGUAAGGAAAGGUUAGAGAGAGGAGACUAUGAGAAGUGUAUAUUAAAAAAGAUAGAAGGACAAGGUUUUACUGAGAAGGCACUGCUUUGCAUUCACAGUGUUGUAUGCUUAAUCUGAUUCUGACCCUAAAGGAUCAUCACAGAUGCUGAUAUUGUUUUGCACAGAAUUUACUUUUUGUACAUUUUGUAGCUUCCUAAGCAUAAACAGUAUAAAAGAUGGACGUAACUACUGUGAUACAGCCCACUUUUUUCUUAAGUCUAAGAUGUGUCUUUCCGCCAUCAACAUCUUGGAUGCAAAAAAACAGGAUGUAAUAAGGAGUUGUGAAUCUGAGUGUGAAACGACCUGCUCAUUGGCUAAUGGCUUGUGAAUCACAAGUGGGGAAAAAAAGCACACAGCUAAUAAUCCUUUUUGAAACAUGGUAUUACCAAGACUGAAAAAAUCAAUUUAAAGUUUUAUUUAGUAUGAGCCAAAAUAAGUGACUAAGACAGUGAACUCAGCAGCAGUGUUGUUCACAGAGGUCAAGAAAGAAAACCUUUUUCCCAUAGACUUCUGUAGGACUGAAAAUCUUUUUGCGACCUCAGCUAUCGCCAUCUGGUGGCCUUCUAAUAGAAUGCAGGUUUUCAGGCACUUCUAUAUUGGCUUUGUUUUUCUGGGAAGUCACAUCUAUAUUUUAUACUCACAUUUUAUACAGCUUACUGAAGAGUUACAGUGUCCCAUCAGGGCUUGUGAUGCUUAAGGCUAGUUGAAACACCAAAUUAGUUUGAGUGCUUCCCCCACCUUCAACCCACUCAAGAAUUGUACUGAUAAUUUGGGGGAUUGUAACACUGUUGCAUUGACUAUGACAUACAAACACAAAGACAAUAACUUUUUCUACGCUUCUGCCUGAAAUUAUAUAGAAUGCAACCAAAGAGAAUAUUAGGGAGUUUGGGUUUUUUUCAUAUCUCUGAUAGGAUCCCUGUCAGAAAUGAUUUCUUCUUAUGGUGACUGCCGCUUUGAUUUUUGAUCCCUAAACAUUAAGACAAUGCACCACCAAAACAUUGUUUUAAAUAACUCACACUGAUAUGUCACAGCAACUGUUUAAAACUUUACAAAAGUACAAAGCCUGAAAAUCUGAAAGACCUUGAGUGGUGAUGGUAGGCUGUAGAGGUGAGAAAGAAAAUAAUAUGUGGAUAAUAUUGGAAAGUCUACAAAAAAAGUUUUUAAAGUCCCUCCAGUAAAAGUAACAGUUUGGCGAGACUGUGGAAAAUGUUCUGUAUGUGUUGGCAACUGCCUUAUGAAAAUACAUUAGCCUUGAAGACAAAAUCUAAAUAGCAGAAAGCAGUGGGGGCAAGAUUAACAAGUCUAUACCUGCUCUUGAAGACAACGACAAUGUGCUAACAUUUUACUGACACAUUGGGCAGACAAAUUGGAAGGAGGGAGAGAAAGAGUGAUGAUAUCAAGGUCAAGGUCAAUAAAUAAAUAGAAAAAGUCUGGAAGACCUAAAUUAAUCAGAUAUACAUUUCUAGCCUUGUCUCAGACUUCUGCAUGUUCUUGACACUGCAUCAGAGGUGGCAAGUACAAGUACUUUUCUACUGUACUUAAGUAGAAUUUUCAGGUAUUUAUACUUUACUUGAGUAUUUAUUUUUCUGAAAACUAUUUACUUUAACUUCCUACAUUUUAGCAUAUCUCUAUACUUUAUACCUUUUAAAUUUUAAAACAUGCUUGUUGCCUUAGGUUUAGUUAUUUCCCUUCACUGUACAACUUCCCAACAUUAAACUGAUUUGAAACCAAAUGGAGAGAAAAAUAUCACAUAAAAAUAAUUUUAUUAGUGUAUCCAGUAACAGUACAGACAGGACAGGAGAGAAAGAAGGGUGGUUAUUUUUAGGUAUUGCUCAGUGACAUUUGAUAAACUGAAAGCUUAUAAGUAUUGUUGGUUUUUAGUAAAUUUUGUAUUUAUACAUGAUGUGUUGCUGUACUUCUGUUUUUUCAUGUUUUGUAAAACAAAUCAUACAAAAAAAAUCCCUGAAAUAUACUUCUUUCUACUACUACUUUCUAUUCAAAGGUUGAAUGAAAAUACUGAGCAGUUAAGUGCAGGUUAAACAGGCUAGUCUGUUGUACUGUUGUGAUUUUACAGUAAAGCACUGUGUUGGACUGGUGCAGAGCAGCUGUGGUGUUCAUGGUCACUGUUAGGUUACAUUAAGGUUUGCAGACAGCAAAUUAAAUUUAAGGUGAUGAUACUGGUUAUAUCCACUCACUGAAUCCCUGCUAGCUUUAUACUGUAUAGUGGUUGGAAAAAGUUCCUUUUUACCCUUUUCUAUGCAUGUGUUCUGUACAACACAUGUUCAACCUGAGUUCAUUCUUUGUAUUAGAAUUUAGAUUGAAAUAAAGAUUUCAUUCACGUGCAUUAAUAAUAUUUUAUUAUGUUAAUAUGGCACAAGUUUCAGUUUCAUUUUGUGGGGAUUAUAUCAUUUUAAUAUCAUGUUUAUUCAUUCAUAUUCGUUCAUAUUCUUUUUAUUCGUGUAUAUCCUUUUAUUAAGCUUUGAGUAGUGAUUAAAACAUUUAUUCAAUAUAUUACACAUAUAGUUUCAUUUAUGUUGUUACACAUAUUACAAAAUGGGCUUACAGAAGAGCCUUCUGUCUGGUAAGAGGUUAUAAGUUUUAGUUGGAGAGGUGAGACAGAGUGCACUGAGGUCAAGACAUACAGUCUGCACACACAUACACACAGACACACACAAACACACACAUAGUCGGUAGACUCAUUUCUAGGUAAGAGUUCAGAUAUAUUUUGCUUGCAACUGCAUUUUGUGCCUGCAUAAGUGACGAGUUUGUUGUAGGACGGACUGCUGAUGUUCUGAGAUAAGUGGUCGUACGGCAGCUACAGGAAACACCUGGUUUUGGAGGCGAAGAAAAUGUUCUUUUUGAAUGUGUUAAAGGUUGUCAUUGCUGUAACUCAUGCAUGUUAUGUAUCUGCUUUGACGCAUGAGGGGGCGUUAUAAUACCCUGAUGUAUAAAACAUUCUGAGUAUGCUUUCUUGGGGGGGUUUUAUGCUGAGGAUUGUGACGGUGUAUUUCCUCCACACGUGUGUUUUAAUAAAAUCAUUGUUUUGACGCA